rnacentral:sRNA from 1 species
CCUCGUCGAUCUGCUGCGGGCAGAUGAAGUGGAUGUGGCUGUCGAUGAUGCCGGCGGUGAGGAUCUUGCCCUCGCCGGCGAUGGCGUCGGUGCCGGGGCCGACGACGAUGGUCACGCCCGGCUGCGUGUCCGGGUUGCCCGCCUUGCCGAUGCCGACGAUCUUGCCGUCCUUCAGCCCGACGUCGGCUUUGACGAUGCCGGACCAGUCGACGAUGAGGGCGUUGGUGAUGACCGUGUCGACGGCGCCCUGCUCGCGCGUCGCCUGGGACUGGCCCAUGCCGUCGCGGA